rnacentral:sRNA from 1 species
ACAAACCGAUUCACAGUCGAGUCCGGAAGUUUCCUCGAUAUCUGAUGGGCUCUGAUGAUGGGAGCUCAGUGGCAGCAACGACAGUCUCGUCGGAUGAGACCAACAGUUGCACCAUGCUUUACUAUGUCGCCCCUGCUGUCCUGGGACAUAACCCCCUUAGUCUUAGACAGAAUAUAUACUCUCCCAACGAAUGUUUCCUUUUGCUAAUACCGAUUGGACUACAAAAGCAGGCUUACCAAUACGAAAAGCAGCUCAAAUGAUUCAUUUGGCAGGCCAAACGCAGAGAUUAAGUACUCUUCAACGGGCACCUGAGAAACCAGCAAGGAACUUAAACGAGAGCCAAAAGAUGGGCUACAUCUACAGCCUAAAAGCAACCUUAUAGAGACAGACUAUCGAUCUAUGCAUCCAUGGCAUCGUCUUAUACUGAACAAGGAUUGAAACCAUUUGAAAGGCGAAGAAAGAGUGAAAGAAACUCAUUAAGGACACCAAUUUUAUAGACAAUGAAAUUCCGAUAGUAAACACUACCGAUUACGCCUUCAUUUUUCAGAUCAACAUCAGAAGUCCAUUGAGCGAAAUCUGGGUCAUUUGGGUAUCAAAGAAGUCAUUGCCAUGCCAGAAUCAUCCCUAUGCUCCAAUACCGAUAGCCCAUAGUCCAGCGAGGGCUAAACAGUUUGUAAAGUAUGCAAAGAUACUGUUUCAGGGACUCCGCAUUAAGUUGAAUAUACUAUUCAGAGACUUCAGAGACUAUACUAUACCCUAAGGACAGUCUGCACUUGGCCAGAUCAGACAUCUUCGCCAGGAGGCCGCAAAUCAUGUACGCCCAAUUAGACACUGCCUAUUUUUAAUCCCGACAAA